UCCGAUGAUGGCAUGAAAUCUUUGAGACCUGAUUCUUUAAUUUGAUGACAACUGUAAGCAUUACACGCUGAGGUC
rfam:Citrus sinensis cultivar Ridge Pineapple sweet orange scaffold00016_contig_148, whole genome shotgun sequence.